UACGUAGGGUCCGAGCGUUGUUCGGAAUUACUGGGCGUAAAGGGCUCGUAGGCGGCCAACUAAGUCACACGUGAAAUCCCCAGGCUUAACCUGGGAACUGCGUGUGAUACUGGAUGGCUUGAAUCCGGGAGAGGGAUGCAGAAUUCCAGGUGUAGCGGUGAAAUGCGUAGAUAUCUGGGGGAAUACCGGUGGCGAAGGCGGCAUCCUGGACCGGCAUUGACGCUGAUGAGCGAAAGCUAGGGGAGCAAACGGG
rnacentral:rRNA from 1 species